rnacentral:snRNA from 1 species
AUACUCAUUUGGACAGCACAUAUACUAAAAUCAGUAUGAUACAGAGAUUAGCAUGGCCCCAUGCAAGGAUGACAUAAUGUACCUCAUUAUGAAAUUUCGGUAUAU